rnacentral:rRNA from 1 species
UCGAGAAUCUUCGGCAAUGGGCGCAAGCCUGACCGAGCGACGCCGCGUGCGAGAUGAAGGCCUUCGGGUUGUAAAUCGCUGUCGUAGGGGAGGAAAUGCCGGUGGGUUCUCCCAUCGGUUUGACCUAUCCUAGGAGGAAGGACGGGCUAAGUUCGUGCCAGCAGCCGCGGUAAGACGAACCGUCCAAACGUUAUUCGGAAUCACUGGGCUUAAAGGGUGUGUAGGCGGUCCGGGAAGUUGGGUGUGAAAGCCCUCAGCUCAACUGAGGAAUUGCGCCCAAAACUGCCGGGCUCGAGGGAGACAUAGGUGAGCGGAACUUAGGGUGGAGCGGUGAAAUGCGUUGAGAUCCUAAGGAACACCAGUAGCGAAAGCGGCUCACUGGGUCUCUUCUGACGCUGAAACACGAAAGCUAGGGGAGCGAAGA